rnacentral:tRNA from 1 species
GCCCGGGUGGAGAAAUUGGCAGACUCGCAUCUUCGAGGGGGAUGUGGCCGCAAGGCCGUGCGGGUUCAAAUCCCGCCCCGGGCA